GCUGGGAUAGCUCAGUGGGUAGAGAAUGAGGCUCUUAAUCUCAGGGUUGUGGGUUUAAGCCCCACGGUGGGCA